rnacentral:rRNA from 1 species
AAACCGGAAUAGCUAGUAAUCGCGGAUCAGCAUGCCGCGGUGAAUACGUUGCCGGGCUUUGUACACACCGCACGUCACACCACGAGAGUUUGUAACACCCGAAGUCGGUGAGGUAACCUUCAUGGAGCCAGCCGCCUAAAGGGUGGAACCAGGAAUUUUUGU